CAAAUCCUGCAGUCCAUCCAUUUGUGCUGUCUCGUAGAUCCACACAUCUUUGGAAAUACUUCAUUUCCCCGGAGGGCUCUGGCUUUACAAUUGACAGCAUCGGAACAAUUUCCACAGCAGCAGUUUCUGAUUUUGAAAGUGAAUCUAGAAGUUUUUCAAUGGUUAUUAAAGUGGUUGAUUCUGGAGGACUGUUUACAGCUGGAAAUCUAAAGAUUUUUCUCAUCAGUAUAAACAAUAAGGACCCCAUUCUUACCUGCAGAAAGUUGACAUCACAGUGGAUGAAGAAAUUCCAAUUGGGAAAAUGAUUGGAGUAUGCCAGGCAACAGAUGAAGAUAGCCUGGGGGAUUUAACCUUUGAACUAGAUCCACGGAAUGAUUACUUUGCAGUUGACAAAGAGUGUGGGACUGUGGUUUCUGCUACACAUCUUGAUGUGGAAAGAACUGGGUUUGCAAGUGUCCAGUCCUCCAUCAAGGCUUGUGACUGUGACUGGCGGUGUGCAGCAAUUCUAGUAACUGCCUAUAUCCAUGGCAUUAAUGACAAUUCACCUUUCUGUGAUCAGUACCUCAUUAGUUGCAAAACUCUUGUGUCAUGACCUUGAUGAGCCUCCUGAUACUAUCCAUUAUGCUCCUAGCUCAGGCCCAGUUGGUUCUGGACAACUCUUUGAGCAAGUGCCAGAUGCUGAAAAUGUCAUCCAGGUUGCUAAAGAGUUGGACUAUGAAGACCCUGAGAUAAUUGCAGGGGACAUACCUAUGAAAUAACGAUUUUAGUAUUUGAUGACCUACUUCCUUCCCAUACAGUAACUGUGACCAUCAUUGUGAAGGUUGCUCCUGCCAAUGACUUCAGCCCUGCAUUCAAAGCUGCACACUAUUCAUUCUCUGUUCUGGAAACGUCGGGAGCAUUCUACAAAGUUGGAAGAGUGAUUGCCAUUGAUGAAGAUCACCCACCAAACUGUGUGACAUACAAAAUAGCCAAUGGAGACACCCAGGUUAUACAAAGAUUCUGGAUUCAUCCUCUCUCUGGAAUGAUCGAACUUACCACACAGCCAGACUAUGAGUCUGUGAAGCAAUAUAACCUCACCGUGGAAGCUGUGGACUGUGACAGAUUUCACCCUCGUACAGCAAUGACCAUGGUCGCUGUUGACAUUGAAAAUGAGAAUGAUGAAGCACCUGUCUGCACACCCUCUCUAUAUAAGACAGUCAUUUUUGACAAUGUUGUUCUUGGGACAAAUGUCAAUGGCUUCACCUGAACUUCCACGACAGAGAGUCACAAGAUUUUGAAAUGCGUUUUGAGAUGGUUUCUGGAAACAAGAACCAUCAUUUUGGAUUUGACCCAACUUGAGGUUCAAAUACUCCAAAAUUAAUUGCGAAGAAUGCUUUCAAUUUUGAAUCUAGAGCUGAAGUACAGCGGCAGUACCAUCUUGUUGUGCAUAUAAUUGAUGAUAACUUGAAAUAUGGCAAAUCCACCAAGCCCAGGACGGGCACCGCUGUUAUAGAUAUUUAUGUAAGAAGAGCCAAUAUGCCACCUCCUCCAACCACUAGUUCUGAACAAAGAAAAAGUCUGACCAUCGUGUACACAGCUAUAAACACGUACAAAUCCAAUGACUGGUACAUUCCUUUUAUCUUCACUCUGAUGGCUAUUUUCUUUGCUGGGUUGAUUUCCUGGGUAUGUUUCCUGCUUUGGAAAUAUGGAAACAUUAUGGAAUGCUGUCAGAAAAUGACCAAGGAAGGCCAAACCCAAGUGAUGGAACUCAAAAGGAAAAUAUUGUCACAGGAAACAGAAAUAAAAAAUUAGAAGUAUUAACAGAAACCACUGUAUAUGAGACUGUGUUUGAUGGAGAAGCCAUUGAUCCACUCUCUGGGAAAGUAUAUGAAUAUAACAGCAGAACAGGUGCAAGAAAGUGGAAGAAGACCUCUAGGCACCAGAAGGAGCCCUUGGCAAACAUACAUUCCCUCCCAGAGGUCCAUCCUUUAGAGGCGUCCAUAUCCUUAAAAAUUCCUUUGCAAGGAUAGCGUUUUUCCAGAGCCUGAAUGAUUGCUUUUUUGUGUAUAUGAUUGUCACAGGCGGUUUUUCUUGGCUACCUAAAAUUAUAGACAUGAGGCCAGCUGCUUUGUCUGUGUUUAUAGCUUUCUGUGGUCUUCCAUUUCAGGGUGUCUGUGUGAAGGCGGAAGGAGUGGUGAGCUUUGAAUCUCUGAACAUGUUUUGCUGAAAACGAGAUACUAAAUUGACAUAUGUUCAUUGUCUUAAUUUGCCCAGUAGAGUGUAUGCUUUUUAAGAUCAGAGACUAUUUUGCUCACUGCUUUAGCCCCAGUACAUGUUUGGCACAGACUGGGGACUCUGUAUACAUUUGUGAACAAAUAAAUUUGAAUAUAU
rnacentral:sRNA from 1 species